GAUGAACGCUGGCGGCGUGCCUAAUACAUGCAAGUCGAGCGAAGCGGGGACGGGGGAGUAACACGUGGAUAACCUCCUAUAUGGCUGGGGUAACUUCGUGAAACCGGAGCUUAUACCGAUACUUAUAGAUGGUUGCACGCUGCAUUUGCUAGUUGGUAAGGUAACGGCUUACAAAGGCAACGAUGCAUAGCCGACCUGAGAGGAUGAUCAGCCACACUGGAACUGAGACACGGUCCAGACUCCUACGGGAGGCAGCAGUAGGGAAUCUUCCGCAAUGGGCGAAAGCCUGACGGAGCAACGCCGCGUGAGUGAUGAAGGUCUUCGGAUCGUAAAGCUCUGUUAGUAGGGAAGCGGUACCUAAACAGAAAGCCACGGCUAACUACGUGCCAGCCGCCGCGGUAAUAC
rnacentral:rRNA from 1 species